UACGUAGGGGCCGAGCGUUGUCCGGAAUCAUUGGGCGUAAAGAGCGUGUAGGCGGCUUGUUAAGUCUUGCGUGAAAUCUCGGGGCUCAACCCCGAGCGGUCGUGAGAAACUGGCAGGCUAGAGUGCGGGAGAGGAGAGUGGAAUUCCUGGUGUAGCGGUGAAAUGCGCAGAUAUCAGGAGGAACACCGGUGGCGAAGGCGGGUCUCUGGGCCGAUACUGACGCUGAGGAGCGAAAGCGUGGGGAGCAAACAGG
rnacentral:rRNA from 1 species